rnacentral:rRNA from 1 species
CCUACGGGAGGCAGCAGUGAGGAAUAUUGGUCAAUGGGCGCGAGCCUGAACCAGCAACGCCGCGUGAAGGAAGAAGGCUUUCGGGUUGUAAACUUCUUUUAUCAGGGACGAAGCAAGUGACGGUACCUGAUGAAUAAGCCACGGCUAACUACGUGCCAGCAGCCGCGGGAAUACGUAGGUGGCAAGCGUUAUCCGGAUUUACUGGUUGUAAAGGGCGUGUAGGCGGGAGGGCAAGUCAGAUGUGAAAACUAUGGGCUCAACCCAUAGCCUGCAUUUGAAACUGGACUUCUUGAGUGCUGGAGAGGCAAUCGGAAUGCCGUGUGUAGCGGUGAAAUGCGUAGAUAUACGGAAGAACACCAGUGGCGAAGGCAGAUUGCUGGACAGUAACUGACGCUGAGGCGCGAAAGCGUGGGGAGCAAACAGGAUUAGAUACCCCAGUAGUC